UGAAUACGAGAUGCUACGGCGUCGAAGCAGUCUAUGUCAUACUUCCAAGAAAAGCUUGCACUGUCAUAAACAAAUAAUGCCUGUACCAUAACCGACACAGGUGGGUAGGUAGAGUAUACUAAGGGGCGCGAGAUAACUCUCUCUAAGGAACUCGGCAAAAUGACUCCGUAACUUCGGGAGAAGGAGUGCCUUAUUUAUAAGGUUGCAAUAACAAGAUCCAAGCAACUGUUUACCAAAAACACAGGUCUCCGCUAAGUCGUAAGACGAUGUAUGGGGGCUGACGCCUGCCCAGUGCCAGAAGGUUAAAGAAGUUGGUUAGCAUCCGCGAAGCUGAUAACUGAAGCCCUGGUGAACGGCGGCCGUAACUAUAACGGUCCUAAGGUAGCGAAAUUCCUUGUCGGGUAAGUUCCGACCCGCACGAAAGGCGUAAUGAUUUGGAUACUGUCUCGGAGAGGGGCUCGGUGAAAUAGACUUGUCUGUGAAGAUGCGGACUACCUGCACCAGGACAGAAAGACCCUAUGAAGCUUUACUGUAACCUGAAAUUGGACUUUACUUGCGCAGUAUAGGUGGGAGGCGUUGAGAAUAUUCUUGCGGGAUUAUUGGAGCCAUCAGUGAGAUACCACUCUUGUAAUGUUAGAUUUCUAACUUUGUAUCAUUAUCUGGUCAAAGAACAGUUUCAGGCGGGCAGUUUGACUGGGGCGGUCGCCUCCUAAACGGUAACGGAGGCGCACAAAGGUUUCCUCUGAACGGGUAGAAAUCGUAUCUAGAGUGUAAAGGCAUAAGGAAGCUUGACUGUGAGACCUACAAGUCGAGCAGGGACGAAAGUCGGUCUUAGUGAUCUGACGGUGCUGAGUGGAAAGGCCGUCACUCAACGGAUAAAAGUUACUCUAAGGAUAACAGGCUGAUCUCCCCCAAGAGUCACAUCGACGGGGAGGUUUGGCACCUCGAUGUCGGCUCAUCGCAUCCUGGGGCGGUAGUACGUCCCAAGGGUUGGGCUGUUCGCCCAUGAAAGCGGUACGCGAGCUGGGUUCAGAACGUCGUGAGACAGUUCGGUCCAUAUCCGGUGUAGGCGUUAGAAUGUUGAGAGGAGCCUUCUUUAGUACGAGAGGACCGAGAAGGACAUACCUCUGGUGUACCAGUUAUCGUGCCAACGGUAAACGCUGGGUAGCUAUGUGUGGAGUGGAUAACCGCUGAAAGCAUCUAAGUGGGAAGCCCACCUCAAGAUAAGUAUUCUCA
rnacentral:rRNA from 1 species